UACGGAGGGUGCAAGCGUUAUCCGGAUUCACUGGGUUUAAAGGGUGCGUAGGAGGGCAGGUAAGUCAGUGGUGAAAUCUCCAAGCUUAACUUGGAACUGCCGUUGAUACUAUCUGUCUUGAAUACUGUGGAGGUGAGCGGAAUAUGUCAUGUAGCGGUGAAAUGCUUAGAUAUGACAUAGAACACCAAUUGCGAAGGCAGCAUCGCUACACAAAUAAUUGACUCUGAGGCACGAAAAGCGUGGGGAUCAAACAGG
rnacentral:rRNA from 1 species